rnacentral:miRNA from 1 species
AAACACGCGAGAAGAUAGGAGUUU